rnacentral:rRNA from 1 species
UAGGGAAUCUUCCGCAAUGGACGAAAGUCUGACGGAGCAACGCCGCGUGAGUGAAGAAGGAUUUCGGUUCGUAAAACCCUGUUGUUAGGGAAGAAAAAAUGUAUAGUAACUAUAUACAAAAGAGACGGUACCUAACCAGAAAGCCACGGCUAACUACGUGCCAGCAGCCGCGGUAAUACGUAGGUGGCAAGCGUUGUCCGGAAUUAUUGGGCGUAAAGCGCGCGCAGGUGGUUUAGAAAGUCUGAUGUGAAAGCCCACGGCUCAACCGUGGAGGGUCAUUGGAAACUAAUAAACUUGAGUGCAGGGGAGAAAAGUGGAAUUCCUAGUGUAGCGGUGAAAUGCGUAGAGAUUAGGAGGAACACCGGUGGCGAAAGCGGCUUUUUGGCCUGCAACUGACACUGAGGCGCGAAAGCGGGGGGAGCAAACAGG